AGCCUAUGCGGGGAUGCCCGUGGGCGCGCUCUGCACGGCGGCACUGUCCUGUUCCCUCAGGCGGUCGGGCAGAGACCAUUGUUCCGUUUAGGGAAAGGGGCUGGACUGGCCCAGAGGAGCUGCCGUACAACACGGAGCGCGACGCGGCUCAAACCUUCCCGAGCACCGCCCAAGCCUGCUCAGUGCGCGCGCGCAGCUUGAAUAAAGCCGAGAGACAAGAUGGCAUCUGACAGCUGAGUUUGCGCAUGUGCAGCUCAGACUCUCCCCGAGAAGAUGGCGCCCCCGCUCGGAAGCCUGCGACUAACACGGCUGCUACUCUGAAACCUUUCUACAAAUGAAGCUCUGAACAGAGGACUGAAUGACCCAUCCAAGCUGUGAAUGUUUUCCAGAGGGACUUUCAAGCCUGCAAACUCACCAAUACUGAUAGGAACCUGAGAGACUUUGAAGGCUUUCCCGCCCUGAUCUUGGCAUUUCCAGUGAGGGCUACCCCAGGCUUGGCUGUAGACAAUGGGUCAUGUAAUGUGUCCUGGAUGGAAGCUGGAGGCAUGUAGAGUAAGCUCCUUAAGAACCUGGCUGAAGAGACCUCGUCAUUAGCGAUAACCUUUGAUGAUGCCUUCAAUACAUCCACGAAUACUUAAGGAACUGGCUGAAGGGAACCCUGAGCCACUGCAUGGAGAGAACCUCAGUGGUGAUGCUUUGGGACUUGGACAAUGUAGCGACUCGUUGCUCCUGCUGUUUUGUCUGUUGGACUCACCUUCUGCUGAACUGAGGCAAGAGCCUCCUGGACUCAUCUGGGCAGCACAUACCUCUGUGUGCUGUGUGCCUCACACAGCAGAGAAUGUUCCACAACAGGGACACCAGGUGCGACAGGACCAGUGCCCCAACAAGCCCCCACAUGGCACCAGUGCCUUGCACCUGCCCCAGACCUGCAAAACAGAAGGGUUGCUGGGAGCACUGGGCCCACACUGUCUGGAGAGAGCCCUGCCCCACCCGACCUGGGCCUGCCUAGCUGGCUCUGGUGCUGCAGCAGAGGGGAGGUGGAAAGGCAGCCAACCAGAAGAGUCUUCCCAUGUGCCAGGCUGAAAUUCCCAGGAAGGCUGGAGAGUUACUCGCAUCAUUAGGAAACCGACUGCAACAGAGGCCAAAACUCACAUCACUGUGCCUGACUUGGACAAAGCCAGUCUAUUCCAGACACUGCCCUGCCAGGGAAAGGACUAUCAACGACUGGACCAUCAAGGCCCAUCAACUUUG